rnacentral:tRNA from 1 species
GCACCGUUAGCUCAAUUGGCAGAGCAGCUCCCUCUUAAGGAGACGGUUGGGGGUUCGAUUCCCUCACGGUGCA